AGAGUUUGAUCCUGGCUCAGAUUGAACGCUGGCGGCAUGCUUUACACAUGCAAGUCGAACGGCAGCACGGGUGCUUGCACCUGGUGGCGAGUGGCGAACGGGUGAGUAAUGCACCGGAGCGUACCCAGUAAUGGGGGAUAACACACCGAAAGAUGUGCUAAUACCGCAUACGCCCUGAGGGGGAAAGCGGGGGAUCGUAAGACCUCGCGUUAGUUAUUGGGAGCGCCGAAUCCGGGAUAAGCUAGUUGGUGAGGUAAGAGCUCACCAAGGCGACGAUCCGUAGCUGGUCUGAGAGGACGACCAGCCACACUGGGACUGAGACACGGCCCAGACUCCUACGGGAGGCAGCAGUGGGGAAUUUUGGACAAUGGGCGCAAGCCUGAUCCAGCCAUGCCGCGUGAGUGAAGAAGGCCUUCGGGUUGUAAAGCUCUUUCGCAAGGAAAGAAAACUUAUCUACUAA
rnacentral:rRNA from 1 species